rnacentral:lncRNA from 13 species
CUUUAAUAGUGGCACAAAAUAGACAGGCCUUAGAUGUCCUUACAGCAGAAGUCGGGAGUACCUAUGAACUUUUAAAUGAAACAUGCUAUGAUUCUGGAUCAACACUUCUAGUCAAGUAGAAGAAAACCUACAGGACUUCCAGUGCUGUGUUGCAUAGAAGUGGUGAAAGUGGUCAUCGCUGUCUUGUGCCAGUUCUCAGGGGGAAUGCGUUCAACCAUUCCCAAUUCAGUAAAUGUUGGCUGCGGGCUUGUCAUAGACGACUUUUAUUACUUUAAGGAAGAGGAAAUUAGGGCAAAGACACCCAUAGAGGGAGGAGCAUGAAAGACAUGGGGAAAAGAUGACCAUCUACAAGCCAAGGAGGCAGCCCUCAGAAGAAACAAUCCUGCCAACACAUUAAUCUCAGAGACACAGCUUGGGUAACUGUGAAAAAUUAAAUUUCUGUUGUUUAAGCCACUCAGUCUGUGGUGCUUUGUUAUGACUAUGACUGCUCAAGCAAAUAAAUACACGUGGUAAAUGAAUAAAGAUUUGAUU